GUCCAGCUCAGAGAAAUGAUGAUAAGUGAAUGUGAUGGGUUGAAAGAAAUAGUUGCAAAUGACGGAAAUGAACGGAAAGAGGAUAUUAUCUUUAGCAAAUUAGGAGAACUGGAACUUAGAUAUUUGCCAAGCCUCGUCAGUUUUUGCUCAGCAGAUCACAGCUUCAAAUUCCCCUCUUUAACGGAAGUAAUUGUGAGGAAAUGCCCCAAGAUGCAGGUUUUCUCAAUUGGAGUCUUAAGCACGCCAAGACUCCUCGUUGUACGACAUGAUGGACAAGAGUGCUGGAAUGGCAAUCUGAAUGACACUGUACAACAAUUGUUUGCAGAAAUGAAUGCCAAGGAAGAUUGACCCCAAUCCAUCAUGUGCUGAAGCUGAAAUAAGGCCAACGCUCUUUGUAAUUGAUUCAGGUGUAGAUUGUGGAAGGGCUUUCUUAUUCGUGUUGGGAUUAUCUAUGCAAUGAGUUGUUUCCUUCUGAGAUUUUAAAUGGUGAACGGACCAUAUUGUUCCCAUUUUAUUAUUCCUACAAGCAGUCUGUAUUUGGUAAAGUUUGAAUUCAGAUUAUCGUGUUUAAUAUCCAUGAAUACACUAAUUAGUUAAAUUUAGUGUCUGUAUUGCCC
rnacentral:misc_RNA from 1 species